GCUUAUCGUGCAGUCGACCUUUUACCUAUUCUCAAAAAUGAACUAUUUAGUAACCGCGAAUCGUUUGUAUAGUGCAAGUUAAUUCAUUCAGUGCGUACCUAAUACUUAUUCGAAUAUGGAAAAGUUUAAUAAAGAUUUAAACAAUUUGUUAAAAAAAAGGUUCAAAUACUUCAUUUUUUACCAAGUUAAAAUAUGAUCAAUACAUUUUACAUAUAAAUCAAUUAAAAAACAAUCCAAAGAAAGAGCAACAGAAUGAUUAUAAACUUUUAAAAAAAUAUGAGGUGUUAAAAGUUUCUGUUGUUAACAAGUUAAUUGUACCAGUAUAUGAAAACAACGAAAUUAAAUAUUAUGUACAUAAUGAAGAGUUAUUUGAUGUUAUACAUAAUGUUAAUUUAUCGAUUGGACAUGGUGGACGACACAGGAUAAAACACAAGAACAGAAUGUUGUAUGGAAACGAACUCCGGCAAAGCAAUUUAAUGUAAUUUAUGUGAGGAGAAUAUAAAAAUUAAAGAAGCACAUCAUUUAAGAGCUAUAGGAAUAGAAAAGAUAGUAAGAUCAAAAUAUCAACAUUUAAAGUUGGAGACUGUAUUGUAAUCCCGGUUCCGAAGGUGGAUAGAGGUUUUGAAGACUCAGCUAACAUUAUUGGCGUAAUGAUCGACCAGAAAAAUAAACUUAACCGUUUAGGAACUGAACAUGGCAUACUAAAAGUUUGGUAUGGUUCUGGAAAUAUACAACCAGCCACAUACAAUUUCAUUGACUUCGAGCAGGCGAAUAAGACAAAAGAAAUAUCUAAAGAGAAAUUGUAUCUUCUUUAACUGGAGGUCAAGGUAUUUUUAGCAUUUAUUAUAAAGGCAAAUGUCAAACUAAAAAUUGUGCUUGUUUUAAAGAUAAUUUAAAAUGCAAUUCUCAUUUCCAUAAC